rnacentral:rRNA from 1 species
CAGCAGCCGCGGUAAUACGAAGGGUGCAAGCGUUAAUCGGAAUUACUGGGCGUAAAGCGUGCGUAGGCGGUGAGUUAAGUCUGCUGUGAAAUCCCCGGGCUCAACCUGGGAAUGGCAGUGGAUACUGGCUCGCUAGAGUGUGUCAGAGGAUGGUGGAAUUCCCGGUGUAGCGGUGAAAUGCUUAGAGAUCGGGAGGAACAUCAGUGGCGAAGGCAGCCCCCUGGGCCAAUACUGACGCUCAUGCACGAAAGCGUGGGGAGCAAACAGGAUUAGAUACCCCUGUAGUCCCUGUCUCUUAUAC